UAUAAUCUUAACCAGUUCUCCGCUCAGAGGGCUGGUUUCGGUACAUCCUGCACCGCAGGACAGUCCCAGCCCAGGGGCUGCUAUGCUGAUCAUCUGCCCCGAAAGAGGUAAGAUACCAAAAUGCACAGUCUGAAUGCAUUUUCAG